rnacentral:rRNA from 1 species
GAUGAACGCUGGCGGCGUGCCUAAUACAUGCAAGUCGAGCGAAUGGAUCAAGAGCUUGCUCUUAUGAAGUUAGCGGCGGACGGGUGAGUAACACGUGGGUAACCUGCCCAUAAGACUGGGAUAACUCCGGGAAACCGGGGCUAAUACCGGAUAACAUUUUGAACCGCAUGGUUCGAAAUUGAAAGGCGGCUUCGGCUGUCACUUAUGGAUGGACCCGCGUCGCAUUAGCUAGUUGGUGAGGUAACGGCUCACCAAGGCAACGAUGCGUAGCCGACCGGGGAGGGUGAUCGGCAACACUGGGACUGAGACACGGCCCAGGCUCCUACGGGAGGCAACAGUAGGGAAUCUUCCGCAAUGGACGAAAGUCUGACGGAGCAACGCCGCGUGAGUGAUGAAGGCUUUCGGGUCGUAAAACUCUGUUGUUAGGGAAGAACAAGUGCUAGUUGAAUAAGCUGGCACCUUGACGGUACCUAACCAGAAAGCCACGGCUAACUACGUGCCAGCAGCCGCAGUAA